AGUAGAUUUGUGGUAAUGUUAUCUACUUGCAUUAAAGGUCAUUCCAAAAGGACUUGUGGAGCGCUGCUCCUUCCAAAGCCCCCAGAAGUUCAUAAAUGAUCUCCUACAUGGGAUGUAUACCAGGGAAUAUAUGGCAGGCCAUUCAGUGACUGGCCAGUCAUCCAGCAGCUGCACAGAAGGAAAACCUGGCCUAGCCAAACAGGACCUUGUUGAAAUAACAAAUGCUGCAAAGUUGAAGUUCACCUACGUAACUGAUACGAACAUAAAAGCAUUUAUACGACAAAAGCUGAACAAUGCUGCCAAAUUUCAGAAACAAUAAAUUAUCAACUGUUAAAAGAAAGUUAAACUUUUGUUCUAUUUUUUUUUGUAUUUUAGCAGUCUGUAGAAAACACUGUGUUAAUGGUGGUUGUAAGCCUAAUUUAUGUGCAGUGAAUUAUUGUUACAGCACUAUGGUUAAAAAUGGCAACAACAAAAAGUGAUACAGUUGAAAAUAUCCAUUAGGUAAAGUACAAUGACAUAGUUAAAAGAACAACAAAAUACUGCAUAAUGCAGUUAUUGUAAUGCAGUAUAUAUAGUACUAUGGUAUCGUAAUUGUAGUAUUCUAUAGCAAAAUAAAAGUAUAAUAAAA